rnacentral:rRNA from 1 species
UACGUAGGGGGCAAGCGUUGUCCGGAAUCAUUGGGCGUAAAGAGCGUGUAGGCGGCCCGGUAAGUCCGCUGUGAAAGUCGGGGGCUCAACCCUCGAAAGCCGGUGGAAACUGUCGGGCUAGAGUGCGGGAGAGGCAGGUGGAAUUCCCGGUGUAGCGGUGGAAUGCGUAGAGAUCGGGAAGAACAUCAGUGGCGAAGGCGGCCUGCUGGGCUGUUGCUGACGCUGAGGCGCGACAGCGUGGGGAGCAAACAGG